AUGUUGGAAAGGUGGAGACCAGAGACCCAUACAUUUCACCUACUAAUAGGUGAAUUUACUGUCACGCUAGAGGAUGUGUACAUGUUACUGGGUCUUCCUGUCGAUGGUAAGACCGUUAACGGGUCGGUUCAACAACCCAAUUCUCAGUGUGAAGAAUUGUUGGGCAGGGAUAUGGUUGAAGGUGGUGGUGCGAGAGGUCAGGGUAUAGUACUCACUGAGCUUAAAAAUCAUUAUGCAAGUUUGGAAAUUAAACGAAAAUUCAUCCGAGCAAGACAGGGUAAUAAAAGCUAG